UGGGGUUGUCGCUCAGUUGGUAGAGUGCUUGCCUCACAUGACAUGCACAAGGCCCUGGGUUUGAUCCCCAGCACCACAA
rnacentral:tRNA from 1 species